GGCUGCGACUCUGCCCGAAAAGAGGAGAAAGGCGAGGAGGAGGCGCGCCUGCUUUCCUGCCUGCCUUUUGCAAGAUCCAGCUGCUGCUUUGCCAAAGCGAGGAGGAGCCACGAAAGAUUUCUGGGUUGACAGAAGCUGGGGCUAACAGCAGGAGCUCACCCCGCCCCCCGGAUUCGAACCACCAACCUUUCAGUCAGCAAGUUCAGCAGCUCAGAGGUUUAGCCUGAUGAGCCACCGAGGGCUCCAAGAGUCCAGUGCAAUACAGGAAAUCCUUAUUAUAUUUGUCCGUCAUGAAAACAUGAAAUCCUAAAUUUCAAAAUAGAAAGGAGGCCAACUCAUACAGGCAGUUCCCGAGUUACAAACAUAACUCAGGAAACCUCAAAUUUCAUGAUUUCAUAGAGAAAAGCCAUGUCAGUUAAAUGACUCGUAGUUAAAAACGGAGCUGAGACUACAGAAAGUGAGAGGAAUCUAUUCCCCAGAAGGAAAAUUCACUCCUGAAAGAAUUAUUAUCAUGGGGAAAAGGGGUCUCAACUGAAGCUUUCUCUCCAGUCCUUGUUUCCACAACAAGCCACAUUUUUCAAAAUCCAAUGAUCACAGGGACAGAAAGUGAGGUGAAAUCUUUCCUAUGCUACCGAAAGCACCGUCUGCCUGUCUGUCUGUUUGGCUGGAGUUACACUUAAAAAUGUACCUGAUCCGCCUUACAUACAAAUUCAACUCAAGAAUAAACCGACAGAACCUUUAUUGUUUGCAAAUUGGGGACUGCCUGUACUGUAUUAUAUUUUCUUCUCCCUCUUUGUUUUUCAUCUUUAAGGCCUUCACAUUACAGUUUGAGUAUCUCUUAUCUGAAAUGUUUAGGACCAGAAGUUUUCUGGAUUAUUUUUUUUUUGUGAUUGUGGAAUAUCUAUAUUUGGACAUAACAAGUUGUCUUGGAGAUAGGACCCAAGUUUGAAAACAAAAUUCCUUUAUCUUUGAUAUACAGCAUUGUAUACAUGGCAUGGCCUGAGGGCUGUAGCACAGGCUGGUUAGUAGCCAGCUGCAAUUAAUCACUUUGACCAAGAGGUCAUGAGUUCGAGGCCAGCCCGUGGCGGAAUGAGCACCCAACCAUGAAAAUAAAAUAAUAGCCCUUGAUCGUUGCUGACCUAAGCAACCUGAAAGAUAGUUGCAUCUAUCAAGUAGGAAAUUUAGGUGCCACUUAUAUGUGGGGAGGCUAAUUUAACUAAUUUACGACACCCUAAAAAAUCAUCCAGCAAGCGUUUGGAAAGAGGAAGUUUCCGUCACAGUGGAUGAUGAAGCAGCUGCUCCCCUGUGGCCGGAAUCAAGCAUAUCCUCAGGAAGCUGGAAGCUGGAGAAUGUUGCCUCUGCAUCUGUCUCUGUUCUAUGUUAUAUGGCAUUGAAUGUUUGUCUCAUAUGUGUACAAUGUGAUCCACCCUGAGUCCCCUUCGGGGUGAGAAGGGCGGAAUACUGUAAAUAAAUAAAUAACUGUAUACAUUUUUAA